UUCCGGUUGAUCCUGCCGGACCUGACUGCUAUCGGAUUGAUACUAAGCCAUGCGAGUCAUUGUAGCAAUACAAGGCAUACGGCUCAGUAACGCGUAGUCAACCUAACCUAUGGACGGGAAUAACCUCGGGAAACUGAGAAUAAUGCCCGAUAGAACAUUAUGCCUGGAAUGGUUUAUGUUCCAAAUGAUUUAUCGCCGUAGGAUGGGACUGCGGCCUAUCAGUUUGUUGGUGAGGUAAUGGCCCACCAAGACUAUUACAGGUACGGGCUCUGAGAGGAGUAGCCCGGAGAUGGGUACUGAGACACGGACCCAGGCCCUAUGGGGCGCAGCAGGCGAGAAAACUUUGCAAUGUGCGAAAGCACGACAAGGUUAAUCCGAGUGGUUUCUGCUAAAGGAACCUUUUGUCAGUCCUAGAAACACUGAUGAAUAAGGGGUGGGCAAGUUCUGGUGUCAGCCGCCGCGGUAAAACCAGCACCUCAAGUGGUCAGGAUGAUUAUUGGGCCUAAAGCAUCCGUAGCCGGCUCUGUAAGUUUUCGGUUAAAUCUGUACGCUCAACGUACAGGCUGCCGGGAAUACUGCAAAGCUAGGGAGUGGGAGAGGUAGACGGUACUCGGUAGGAAGGGGUAAAAUCCUUUGAUCUAUUGAUGACC
rnacentral:rRNA from 1 species